rnacentral:rRNA from 1 species
AACGAACGCUGGCGGCAUGCCUAACACAUGCAAGUCGAACGAGACCUUCGGGUCUAGUGGCGCAAGGGUGCGUAACGCGUGGGAACCUGCCCUUAGGUUCGGAAUAACUCACCGAAAGGGGUGCUAAUACCGGAUACUGUCCUCGGACCAAGGAUUUAUAGCCUUUGGAUGGGCCUGCGUUGGAUUAGCUAGUUGGUGGGGUAAAAGCCUACCAAGGCGACGAUCCAUAGAUGGUCGGAGAGGUUGAUCAGCCACACUGGGACUGAGACACGGCCCAGACGCCUACGGGAGGCAGCAGGGGGGAAUAUUGGACGAUGAGCGAAAGCCUGAUCCAGCUAUGCCGCGUGAGUGAUGAAGGCCUUAGGGUUGUAAAGCUCUUUUACCCGGGAUGAUAAUGACAGUACCGGGAGAAUAAGCUCCGGCUAACUCCGUG